AUACGUAGGGGGCGAGCGUUGUCCGGAAUUACUGGGCGUAAAGGGCGCGUAGGCGGUAGGGCAAGUCAGAUGUGAAAGUCCAGGGCUCAACCCUGGAAUUGCAUUUGAAACUGUCCUACUUGAGUGCAGGAGAGGAGAGCGGAAUUCCUAGUGUAGCGGUGAAAUGCGUAGAGAUUAGGAAGAACACCAGUGGCGAAGGCGGCUCUCUGGACUGUAACUGACGCUGAGGCGCGAAAGCGUGGGUAGCGAACAGGAUUAGAUACCCUGGUAGUCCACGCCGUAAACGAUGAGUGCUAGGUGUUGGGUGUCGAAGCCCAGUGCCGCAGUUAACACAAUAAGCACUCCGCCUGGGGAGUACGACCGCAAGGUUGAA
rnacentral:rRNA from 1 species